AUUGAACGCUGGCGGCAUGCUUUACACAUGCAAGUCGAACGGCAGCACGGGCUUCGGCCUGGUGGCGAGUGGCGAACGGGUGAGUAAUGCGUCGGAACGUGCCGAGUAAUGGGGGAUAACGCAUCGAAAGGUGUGCUAAUACCGCAUACGACCUGAGGGUGAAAGCGGGGGAUCGCAAGACCUCGCGCAAUUGGAGCGGCCGAUAUCAGAUUAGGUAGUUGGUGGGGUAAAGGCCCACCAAGCCAACGAUCUGUAGCUGGUCU
rnacentral:rRNA from 1 species